AUCAAUUGUACAUACGGGUACGGGCCACAGAUAAAGGAAGCUAUUUAACCCUAAUUCUAAUUGAAAUUGAAGAAUGAAAGAAAAGAGGAUUAUGGCGAUGGAUGAUAGAGUGCGGUAGCUGAUGACGUUGCUGGAUCUGGAGAUAAUGACUCGUAGAAUGGAACUUUGGGGGAUGAAGAAGCAGGAUUGCAUUAAGGGCGUAGCUGAGAUGGAAAAGCAGGAGGAUUGUGAGAUGGAAGACCAGGAUCUCAUAACAGAGAUGGACGAUCUACAUCACAUCAACAACAACAAGAACAAGGAGCAGAUGAAGAUGAAGAUGAAUCAACAGGAGGAGGAAGAGGAAGAGGUAUGUGUUUGCACUCAACUGACUCUUUUUAUUUGUAAAAUAUGGUCUAUGGAUGAUUGAUUGAUGAUUCAAUUUUGCUUCUUCAGCUUCAGGGCAUGUCGUUCACGUAUAAACCCAUGACAAGGUCACCCCAUCUUAUCCUUGGAAUUCCUUCGGAAGAAGAGACAUCAUGGGGUAUUGCUCCUCGUUGGUUAAUCUAAUGCUUGCUUCUCACAUCCCUAACGUAGUUAACUAUCUACUACUUUGCUCUAGUUUGGUUGCUUAUAUCACAUUCCUAGUAAUGUUUUUAUUUGAUGUAUAUACUUUGGAUGUAAUGUUCUGAAAUCAUCAAUGAGUUGACAAGACUAUCAUGUUUAGGCCUCAAACUUAUGAAUUCGAACCAAGGAUGGUCGUAGCUAGGUACAAAAAAGUUCAGUUCAAUGUCGAGAUGCAAUAUCAAUUUGCUCCUGUUUUUUUCAUCUGAUUGAUAAUCUAUAUCUUUCUCCAUCAGGUUUUAAGAUAAUUAUUGUUCAUGUUAUCAUAUCCCCGUCCAUCCCCUUAUAAGUUGUCUAUAUAUCUCUGCCCUCCAUGAAUGUUUCCUAGCUAGGAAUUAUGUGUAUCUUAGAAACGUUCUUGUGGAUGUUUUAUAUUUGAAUCUCGCUCAGCAACUGCAAUGAGAUAGGUAAUAGAGUAGUAAUAUUUACAUCUAUGUUCCUGCCCGUCUUACUGGUAGUGGAGUAAUGUGAUAAAUUUGUGCCUUGCUAUAUAUUUCAGAGUAAUGUCAAACAUUACUUACUUCUUUCUAUGCUUUUGUUGCACUGCAUAUAUACAAGUCUGCCACUAUCUUGUUUAGACUAUCUUCCUAUGUAGUUUCAACUUGUAAUCUCGUGAAAAAAGAAAACUACAUGAGCUCGCUCCCUCCACUGAUUGGGACUGAAUUUAUUUGUUGAUAUGCAAAAGUUGUGAGCAUCUUAGCAUGACAAAUUAUAAAAUGGUCCAGCUCACGUGAUUGUAGCCCUUGUAAAGCUCUAAGUUGCAUUCAGUUACUUCUUAGCACCUUAGAAAUGACGUUCAUGUAGAUAGAUGUUCACGUGUCCUCACUCACUCAUCUUCCUGGUAAAUGCAAUGUGAAAUAUGUUUUCUUGUCAAAUUCCCAGAAGUUGAACUUCAAAUUUGUACGUCUCUCAUAUUGAGCUAUUUUACUACUUGUGUCUCAAUUUCUUCGGUAAAAGAAAGAUGGAGAACCAGGAUCUCAUAACAGAGAUGGAGGAUCUACAUCACAUCAACAACAAGAACAAGGAGCAGAUGAAGAUGAAUCAACAGGAGGAGGAAGAGGAGGAGGAGGUAUGUGUUUGCACUCAACUGAUUCUUUUAUUUGUAAAAUAUCGUGAUUGAUUGAUAGAUGAUUCUGUCUUUCAGCUUCAGGGCAUGUCGUUCACGUUUAAACCCAUGCAUUGCUUGACAAGGUCACCCCAUCUUAUCCUUGGAAUUCCUUCUUUAUCUCCGGAAGAGGAAGAAGAGACAUCAUGGGGUAUUGCUGGUCUUGGUCCUCGUUGGUUAAUCUAAUACUUGCUUCUCACAUCCCUAGUUAUUAUAUCUCUCCAAACCUAGUUAACUAUAAACUACUUUGCUGUAGUUUGGUUGGUUAUAUCACAUUCCUAGUAAUGUUUUCAUGUAUAUGCUUUGUUCUGAAAUCAUCAAUGAGUUGACAAGACCAUCAUGUUUAGGCCUCGAACUUAUGAAUUCGAAGCAAGUAUGGAGGUAGCUAGGUACAAAAAAGUUCAGUUCAAUGUCGAGAUACAAUAUCAAUUGCUCCUGUUUUUUUCAUCUGAUUGAUAAUCUAUAUCUAUCUCCGUCAGGUUUUAAGAUAAUUAUGGUUGAUCAUGUUAUCAUAGCCUCGUCCAUCCCCUUAGAAGUUGUCUAUAUAUCUCUGCCCUCCAUGAAUGUUUCUUAGGAAUUAUGUGUAUCUUAGAAACGAAUGUUUUCUAUUUGAAUCUCGCUCAGCAACUGCAAUGAGAUAGGUAAUAGAGUAGUAAUAUUUACAUCUAUGUUCCUGCCCGUUUUUCUGGUAGUGCAGUAAAUGUAAAUGUUCCUAUUAUAAAUUCGUGCCUUGCUAUAUAUUUCAGAGUAAUGUCAAACAUUACGUACUUGUUUCUAUGCUUUUGUUGCACUGCAUAUGGUUGAGUCUGCCACUUUAUAUCUUGUCUUCCUAUCUAGUUUCAACUUGUAAUCUCGUCAAAAAAAGAAACCUCCCACUGAUUGGGACUGAUGUAUUUUUCAACUUUUGCAUGUCGUUGUUCUCUUUGCCGGAUAGUUGGCGCUCGUUGUCGGAAGAGUAUAAUCACGACUGUAAAGAUGAAGGAGCGAUGGUAAAUGACGAUGAGGUACGGAUGAUUAUUCCAUCGGCGCCUGUAAUGAUAGCUAAGGAAGGACGGGAGCUGGUUUCUGCACCUCCAUUCUAUCCUUACAAGCACGAACGACUCGAUAAUGGAUUUGUAUACCUUAUCAAGCAAUUGGAUGGACAAAAGGAAAAAGAUGAAGCGAUAAAGUUGAAGCUGAUUGUCAAGGCAGGGUAUGCAAUUUUUUGUUAAUGUUUUUUUGUGACUAGCUCUAGCUCUGAACUGAUUAAGUGAUUUUCAACAAAAUUAUUUUAGGUUUUUGCGAGACCGAUGCUUAUGAAAUACUAAUAGAUAGAUACAUACAUGUAUGCUUUUGUGAGUAGAUAAAUACAUUUAGUUUGUAUUUUGUGGCUUUUUCAGGUCCAUUUGUGAAAAUGAAGAACAACAGAGUGUUGCGUGGGUUGUUCAGCAACUUGUUUUUCUCAUGUUCUUGUUGGGACUAACGUUCAUUGGAGUUCUCGGAAGCUUUCUCAUGAUGACACCACAUAUGUGUUUUCAGUGAAUAACAUGGAGGACGCCUUGAAAGUAGUUUCACAAUCCAAUGAACGUUAGUCCCAACAAGAACAUGAGAAAAAACAAGUUGCUGAACAACCCACACAGAACUCUAUUGUUCUUUCAUUUUCACAAAUGGACUUGAAAAAGCCACAAAAUACAAACUGAAUGUAUUUAUCUAUUCACAAAAACAUACAUGUAUGAACCCUCAGGGGUUGGCCUGCUGGCAAUUGACUUGAGCCUUGGGGUUUGCUCCCUUUCAAGGUCUCAAGUUCGAAACCCACUGGGUGCAAACAAUUUCUGAGGGCCAUCGGACUGGGUAAAACCUGAAUUAACCGUGGUGCACUUGCGGGAAACUCCUUGCCGAGGGCCUGUGCACCCCCGGGAUUAGUCGGGGCUCAAAGAGACUCGGACACCCGGUGCAAAUCAAAAAAAAAAAAAACAUACAUGUAUGUAUCUAUCUAUUAGUAUUUCAUAGCAUCGGUCUCGCAAAAACCUAAAAUAAUUUUGUUGAAAAUCACUUGAUCAGUUCAGAGCUAGUCACAAAAAAUUGCAUACCCUGCCUUGACAAUCAGCUUCAACUUUAUCGCUCCAUCUUUUUCCUUUUUUCCAUCCAGUUGCUUGAUAAGGUAUACAAAUCCAUUAUCGAGUCGUUCGUGCUUGUAAGGAUAGAAUGGAGGUGCAGAAACCAGCCCCCGUUCUUCCUUAGCUGUCAUUACAGGCGCCGAUGGAAUAAUCAUGCGUACCUCAUCGUCAUUUAUGUUCUAGAUGUUCCACCUCCAAAAUUUAUGUUCCACGCCAGCAUCGGGUGUCCAGAGACACACUGGGGACGACUGACGAGUUGCAGUGUUUAGUUGUUAGUUGAGAUCAAGUUGAUGUGUCUAGAUGUGCACUCUCAAAGUUGGUCUGCUUAGUUGCCAGGUGUGGCCAUGUUUGAGUGUCUGUUUAUGUAUUAUCCCUCAUUCAUUUUAAGAUGAAGUUAAAAUUGGUGGCGGUGCUUUAUGCAGGAAGUUCAAACAAGAAGAAAGUCAUCAUCGGGGGUGUGGUUGGAGGUGUAGGACUUCUUAUGAUUGUAUUGGCAGUGUUCCUAUUGUAUCGACUAUCAAGAAAACCACAGGCAGCAGAAAGAGGUAAAAGCUAGAAGAUCACCUUAUCAAUUUGAUAUGAUCCAACAUACAAAACAAGAUAAAGAUAGAAUUGAAAGCAAUAAACAAAGCUACACACAAACAAAUUCAAAAAUAGAUGAUAAUUAUACUGAAAAAACAAUAGAAUCACCUUCUGCAAGUGAGAACAAGCAUUGUAUAAGUCCUUGAGUUCCUUUGCUUGUCCCCUUGUGAUUAUUUAUGUAGUAACUGAUAUCGUAGCUCGUGUUCAGGUAAUAUACUGGGAGCAACAGAGCUGAGAGGUCCUGUGAACUACAGAUUCAAGGAUCUAAAAAUUUCUACAAAAGAUUUCAAUGAAAGUAAUAAACUCGGUGAAGGUGGUUUUGGUGAUGUAUACAAGGUAGGUAACGCUGAAACAGUUGACGAAUCCUACUCAUUUAUCCUCCAAAUUUAAUUCAUAGGAUGAUAUUAAUGCUAUUGAACAGGGCACUUUGAAAAAUGGACAUGUAGUUGCUGUUAAAAAGCUAGCAAUGGUAUCUAGCAGAGCAAAGGCAGAUUUUGAUACUGAAGUUAGGCUUAUCAGCAACGUCCAUCAUCGCAAUCUCAUCCGUCUUUUGGGAUGUUCUAACAAGGGAGCAGAGCUAGUACUUGUUUAUGAAUACAUGGCAAAUGGCAGCCUUGAAAGAUACUUAUAUGGUUGAUUUUGUCUAUCCGGCUUAUUAUUUUCUCUCCGAGUCAAGUCAAAUCUUUAUGUUCAACAAAAAUUUAAACAAAUCCUACCUCUCAUGGUUUUGCAGGUGAUAAACAAGGGAUGCUCAACUGGAAGCAACGAUAUGAUAUGAUCAUCGGAACAGCUCGUGGCCUUGCCUACUUGCAUGAGCAAUUCCACGUCUGCAUCAUCCAUAGAGAUAUAAAAUCCAGUAACAUUCUACUAGACGAUGAAUUCCAGCCAAAAAUUGCAGAUUUUGGGCUUGUAAGACUUUUACCUGGGGAUCAGAGUCAUGUCAGCACUAAGUUUGCUGGUACCUUGUAAGUCAAACUGCUCGAGUUUCUUUCCUCAUAUCAGUUAAAACAUUAUGAGAACAGCAAACAUAUCAACGAGAUCUAAUUGAAACAGGGGAUAUACUGCGCCAGAAUAUGCAAUUCAUGGACAUCUAACAGAGAAGGUUGACGUCUAUGGCUUUGGUGUUGUUGUUCUUGAAAUAAUCAGUGGACGGAGGAGCAAUCAUAUGCAAGAAACUGAAUAUCUCCUUGAACAGGUCUGUUCUCAUUUUCAAAUUUCAUCUUCUUUUCAUAUUAUCACUAAGUUCUUUCUUCCAACAAAGCUUUCCUAUUCGAAAUGCACUUGUCACUUUGUUAAAAUAGGCGUGGAAAUUUCACGAAGCUGGAAUGCAUGUAAAACUGGUGGAUGAAACUUUAGAUGUCAGUGAAUACAACGAACAAGAAGUGAAGAAAAUCAUAGAGAUUGCCUUAAUGUGUACACAAUCACCUUCAACUUUUGCAUGUCGUUGUCUUCUUCGCCGGAUAGUUGGCGCAGGAAGAGUAUAAUCAUGACUGUAAAGAUGAAGGAGCGUUGGUAAAUGACGAUGAGGUACGCAUGAUUAUUCCAUCGGCGCCUGUAAUGACACCUAAGGAAGAACGGGGGCUGGUUUCUGCACCUCCAUUCUAUCCUUACAAGCACGAACGACUCGAUAAUGGAUUUGUAUACCUUAUCAAGCAAUUGGAUGGACAAAAGGAAAAAGAUGAAGCGAUAAAGUUGAAGCUGAUUGUCAAAGCAGGGUAUGCAAUUUUUUGUUAAUGUUUUUUGUGACUAGCUCUAGCUCUGAACUGAUUAAGUGAUUUUCAACAAAAUUAUUUUAGGUUUUUGCGAGACCGAUGCUUAUGAAAUACUAAUAGAUAGAUACAUACAUAUAUGCUUUUGUGAGUAGAUAAAUACAUUCACUGAAAACACAUAUGUGGUGUCAUCAUGAGAAAGCUUCCGAGAACUCCAAUGAACGUUAGUCCCAACAAGAACAUGAGAAAAAACAAGUUGCUGAACAACCCAACAGAACUCUAUUGUUCUUUCAUUUUCACAAAUGGACCUGAAAAAGCCACGAAAUACAAACUGAAUGUAUUUAUCUACUCACAAAAGCAUAUAUGUAUGUAUCUAUCUAUUAGUAUUUCAUAAGCAUCGGUCUCGCAAAAACCUAAAAUAAUUUUGUUGAAAAUCACUUGAUCAGUUCAGAGCUAGUCACAAAAAAUUGCAUACCCUGCCUUGACAAUCAGCUUCAACUUUAUCGCUCCAUCUUUUUCCUUUUUUCCAUCCAGUUGCUUGAUAAGGUAUACAAAUCCAUUAUCGAGUCGUUCGUGCUUGUAAGGAUAGAAUGGAGGUGCAGAAACCAGCCCCCGUUCUUCCUUAGGUGUCAUUACAGGCGCCGAUGGAAUAAUCAUGCGUACCUCAUCGUCAUUUACCAACGCUCCUUCAUCUUUACAGUCAUGAUUAUACUCUUCCUGCGCCAACUAUCCGGCGAAGAGGACAACGACAUGCAAAAGUUGAAAAAUACAUCUCUUCGCCGGAUAGUUGGCGCUCGUCGUCGGAAGAGUAUAAUCACGACUGUAAAGAUGAAGGAGGGUUGGUAAAUGACGAAGCUGGAUCUGGGGAUAAUGACUCGUAUAAUGGAACUUUGGGGGAUGAAGGCGGAGAAUCAGAAGCAGGAUUGUAUUAAGGGUGUAACUGAGAUGGAAAAGCAGGAUAGUGAGAUGGAAAAUCAGGAUCUCAUAACAGAGGAGGACGAUCUACAUCACAUCAACAAGAAGCAGAAAAUGGAUAGUGAGAUGGAAAACCAGGAUCUCAUAUCAGAGAUGGAGGAUCUACAUCACAACAAGAACAAGGAGCAGAUGAAUCAACAUGAGGAAGAGGAGGUAUGUGUUUACACUCAACUGACUCUUUUUAUCUGUAAAAUAUCGUGAUUGAUUGAUGAUUCUGUCUUUCAAUUUUGCUUGCUUCAGCUUCAAGGCAUGUCGUUCACGUAUAAACCGAUGCAUUGCUUGACAAGGUCUCCCCAUCUUAUCUUUGGAAUUCCUUGUAUACCUCCUGAAGAGGAAGAAGAGACAUCAUGGGGUAUUGCUGGUCUUGGUCCUCGUUGGUUAAUCUAAUACUUGCUUCUACAUCCCUACUACUUUGCUCUAGUUUGGUUGCUUAUAUCACAUUCCUAGUAAUGUUUUCAUGUAUAUACUUUGUUCUGAAAUCAUCAAUGAGUUGACAUGACCAUCAUGUUUAAGCCUCGAACUUAUGAAUUCGAACCAAGUAUGGUGGUAGCUAGGUCAUUCUAAGUACAAAAUAGUUCAGUUCAAUGUCGAGAUGCAAUAUCAAUUUGCUCCUGUUUUUUUCAUCUGAUUGAUAAUCUAUAUCUUUCAACUUUUGCAUGUCAGGUUUUAAGAUAAUUAUGGUUCAUGUUAUCAUAGCCCCGUCCAUCCCCUUAGAAGUUUUCUAUAUAUCUCUGCCCUCCAUGAAUGUGUCCUAGGAAUUAUGUGUAUCUUAGAAACGGAUGUUUUCUAUUUGAAUCUCGCUCAGCAACUGCAAUGAGAUAGGUAAUAGAGUAGUAAUAUUUACAUCUAUGUUCCUGC
rnacentral:lncRNA from 1 species